rnacentral:rRNA from 1 species
AGUGAACGCUGGCGGUAGGCCUAACACAUGCGAGUCGAACGGCAGCACAGUAAGAGCUUGCUCUUACGGGUGGCGAGUGGCGGACGGGUGAGGAAUACAUCGGAAUCUACUUUUUCGUGGGGGAUAACGUAGGGAAACUUACGCUAAUACCGCAUACGACCUACGGGUGAAAGCAGGGGAUCUUCGGACCUUGCGCGAUUGAACGAGCCGAUGUCGGAUUAGCUAGUUGGCGGGGUAAAGGCCCACCAAGGCGACGAUCCGUAGCUGGUCUGAGAGGAUGAUCAGCCACACUGGAACUGAGACACGGUCCAGACUCCUACGGGAGGCAGCAGUGGGAAAUAUUGGACAAUGGGCGCAAGCCUGAUCCAGCCAUACCGCGUGGGUGAAGAAGGCCUUCGGGUUGUAAAGCCCUUUUGUUGGGAAAGAAAAGCAGCAGGUUAAUACCCCGCUGUUCUGACGGUACCCAAAGAAUAAGCACCGGCUAACUUCGUG